rnacentral:rRNA from 1 species
CGCGUGGGAAUCUACCUAGUAGUGGGGGACGAACAGUUGGAACGACUGCUAAUACCGCAUACGCCUACGGGGAAAGGCCGGGAGUCUUCGGACCGGUCGCUAUUGGAUGAGCCUGCGUAAGAUUAGCUUGUUGGUGGGGUAAUGGCCUACCAAGGCGACGAUCUUUAGCUGGUCUGAGAGGAUGAUCAGCCACACUGGAACUGAGACACGGUCCAGACUCCUACGGGAGGCAGCAGUGGGGAAUAUUGCACAAUGGGCGAAAGCCUGAUGCAGCCAUGCCGCGUGUGUGAAGAAGGCUCU